CAAAAACAUGUCCUUUUGUUAUUUAUAUAAGGUCUAACCUGCCCAAUGACUUAAGUUGAAUGGCCGCGGUAUUUUAACUGUGCUAAGGUAGCAUAAUCACUUGUCUUUUAAUUGAAGGCUUGUAUGAAUGGUUGGACGAGAUAUAUACUUUCUUUGUUUUAAUUUAAAAACUUAACUUCUUAGUUAAAAGGCUAAGAUUAAAUUAUAGGACGAGAAGACCCUAUAGAUCUUUAUAUUAUUUUAAGUUAAUAUUAUGGUAAUUAUAAUUGUAAUAUAAUAUUUGGUUGGGGUGACUUCAGAAUUUAAAAAACUUCUGAUUUAAUUUUUCAUUAAUUAAUGUUUAAUUGAUCCAAUUUUAUUGAUUAAAAGUUUAAGUUACCUUAGGGAUAACAGCGUAAUUCUCUUGGAGAGUUCUCAUCGAUAAGGGAGUUUGCGACCUCGAUGUUGGAUUAAAGUAAGUUAUGGGUGCAGUAGCCCAUGUACUAGGUCUGUUCGACCUUUAAUUCUUUACAUGAUCUGAGUUCAAACC
rnacentral:rRNA from 1 species